ACAAAGUCAGAAGGCCCAGGGCAAGUGCAGAAACGUCCCUUGCCCGGGGAAGUUGAGCGCACACCCAGGCACGCCCGUAUUUCUGGAGAAUUCCUCCGGUGCAGGCGGCCGCGUUUUCUACUGCAUCGCAGUCCGCGGGGGUUGGAAACGCUCCCGCCCUGUUUUCAGGCGCGUCCCCGCCUCCUGAGCCUCCGUCCUCUGCGGAGGGGCCGCGCGCUCCAGUUUGCCAGUGUGAGCUUUUACCCUUCACUCUCGGCGUGGGCCUCCUGAGCCGUGUCUGACUUUCUUUUGAUUCCUUCUCGUCCCAGCUGGAGAAAAGGGUCCUGGAAGGGUGACCUGGUGACGCUGGAUUCCACUCCCCAUCACUCCCUAGCCAACCCCGCGAGCUGAGCUCCAGGCAGGGAGGGGGACGGGUGCCUGGGAGGCGGGCGACUCCCUGGGCGGUGGCGGGCACGGGUCGAGCGUCCUCUGUCCGUCAGGGGCCCGCAGCGCCAGGAGGCGACGCUGGAUGCAGUGGCCAUCUCCUCCUGCCUCCAGGCCAUGGGGAACCCAGGGCGGAUCGCGGGUCAGCAGGGCCAGCUCUCCACCAAGCUGGCCCACCCAACAUGCCAGGACUAAGGAAAGAAGGGCUGCCCCACCCCCACAGUCGGAUGGCAAGUGUUUGGGGUGCAGCCCCCGCUACUAGUGUCACCUGUUCUGCCUGAGCAGGCCUCUCUGUUACUCCCUGCUCUUGGGCCUGAAGCAGAGCCGCUGGCUCAGCGGGGCGCUCCAUUCUGAGGUCCCUGGCGUGCACCACGGAAGCCCAGCAGGACCACCCACCCAACUGCCCCAGCUCCCCAGCGGAGGUCCUGAGAUGGCGGAUUAAAUACUCUGGGGUCCUGAAUUCCACAGAUGAACUGGGUCCCCCACGGGUAUGGCCAAGGGGACGGCCCACUCCCUAGUGGCUCCGUGUGAAAUCAAGCUGUUGCUGCUCUCACCGCGGGGCCCAGCUCACUGCCCAGACAUAGCACAUCGCCCUGCGCACGGGCUGGGUGGGCACGGCUGUGAGGGAUGCCACCCCAUGCCUCAGGCCUCCUGCAUAGGCGUGGGCCUCGCCACUCUGGGUGGACAGGCUACUUUGGCCCCUCAGCCUCUGGGGACUGCUACCCUGUUUUCAACACAGUGUCAGGCACCAUCCGGUCAGCCAGCUCCUCCAGCCCGGAGACUCCCGUGUCCUCAUUCUCCUGGGCUGUUACGGUCAGCCAGGGCCCAGCCUUUGCUGGAAGGCUGUCCAGGCUGGGCUCUGGUCAGGCAUCGAUGUCCCCCAGGCCCCUGGCCUCACCUUGCGUUGGGACAGCCUCUGCAAGGUGGAACAGGAAGGGUCUGGCUUUGCCUCUGUCACCUCCUCCUGGUCCAUCAUGUCCUCCUGGCCAGCCCGUUCCUGGUUCCUGCGGGGAGCCCAGCCAGAAGGGGAACCGAAAGAUUCUAACUUAAUUCUAGUUCAGCCUCCCGGAUCCUCUUGUGGAGCAGCAGGACCCCAUAAAAGCUACUUGGCUCAGCACCUUGCUGGCCAAGCCUCCCCACAGCGGUCCACACAGGCCAGAGGUGAACAUGCCCCACACCCGGAAGGCCUGGUGCAAGGAGGAUGUGGUGCCACAGCCUGAAUCCAACAGCACCUGCCGCUGACGCUCUGACCUGGGGCUGGGUUAGUCACCCGUCCCCCUUGCUCUGAAAUGGAGAGUGCACGUGACCACGGCCAGUCCUGGACGAUCCUGCCAUGCCAGAGCCACCAGCUGGAACACACGGACACAACCUCUUUUCCGUCUGACUGGUACAAGGUAUGUGCUUCUCCUAACUCCAGAGAGCCUUGGAUGAUGCCACCGAUGGUGAUCAAGGUGGCAACUACCCAUGUGGCUUUGACUGAAUCAGGCUUGUUCAUUUUUUAAAAUAGCUUUAUUGAUAUAGACAUCAUGCUGUAAGACUUCUCCCGUUUAAAGUGUUCAAUUCAGUGGUGUUCAGUUUAGUUACAGAGUUGUGCCACUGUCACCAUCAUCCAGUUUAGAACUUUUUUGUUUUGUUUUGUUUUGUUUUUUGAGAUGGAGUCUUGCUCUGUUGCCCAGGCUGGAGUGCAUGACACUACCUUGGCUCACCGCAACCUCUGCCUUCCAGGUUCAAGCAAUUCUCCUGCCUCAGCCUCCCGAGUAGCUGGGAUUACAGGCGCGUGCCACUACGCCCGGCUAAUUUUUGUAUUUUUAGUACAGACAGAGUUUCACCAUGUUGGACCAGGCUGGUCUCGAACACCUGACCUCAGGUGAUCUGCCUGCCUUGGCCUCCCAAAGUGCUGGGAUUACAGGCAUGAACCACUGCGCCCGGCCCCAAGUUUAGAACAUUUUCAUCACCCUAAAAAGCAAAUGGGGAUACCCCUCAGCAGUCAACCCCAUUAUCCCCUCCCUCCAGCCCCUGGUGACCACUAAUCUAGUUUCUGUCUCUGUGGAUUUGCCUGUUCUGUACAUUUCAUAGAAAUGGAAUCAUUCAAUGCACGGCCUUUGUGUCUGGCUUUUUUCACUGAGCGUAACAUUUUCAAGGCUCGUCCAUUUUGUAAUGUGGACCAGCGCUUCUUUCUUUUUUACUCCUGAAUAGAGUCCAUUGUAUAGUUAAAUACAUUCUAAUGGAUCCAUUGUUUGGGUAUAUGACAUUUUGUUUAUCCAUUCAUGAGUUGAUGGACAACUGGCUUUUUCCCACUUUUUGGCUAUUAUGAAUAAUGUUACUAUGAACGUUCGUGUCUAAGGUUUUGUGGACAUUUGUCUUCAUUUCUCUGGGGUGUACACCUAAGAGUGGAGUUGCUGUUUGACCUUUUCAGGAAACAACAGACUGUUUUCCAAAGUGACCGCACCAUCUUCCAUUCCCGCUGGCAAUGCACCAGCGUUCCCCGCUCACGCCCCACAACCCGCUGUGACUGUUGGGCUUUUUCUUGCAGCCGGCAGCCGGCACAGUAGGUGUGACAUCGUAUCACUGAGGUGUCAGUUUGCAUUUCCCUAAUGAUUCGUGAUGCUGAGCUUAUCUGACAUUGAUUAGCUUCACUGGAGGAAUGUCUGUUCAGUCCUCUCACUAUCUUGGUAGUGUCCUUUCAGACAUAAAAGUUGUAAAUUUUGGUGAAAUCCAAUUUACAUAUGUUCUCCCUUUGUUGCUUGUGCUUUUGUUGGUAAAUUACUUGAUGGAGGACGGGAGCUGCCCGGCCUCCUGGGUCAUUAGAAAGGAAACCUCUUGGCGGGCACGGUGGCCUACUCUUGUAAUCCCAGCACUUUGGGAGGCCAAGACCGGUGGAUCACUUGAGGUCAGGAGUUCAAGAACAGCCUGGCCAACAUGGCAAAACUCCCGACUCUACUAAAAAACUACAACUAUUAGCUGGGCAUGGUGGUAAGCCCCUGUAGUCCCAACUACUCAGGAAGCUGAGGCAGGAGAAUCGCUUGAACCCGGGAGGCGGAGGCUACAAUGAGCCGAGAUGACACCACUGCACUCCAGCCUGGGUGACAGCGAGCCAAGAAAGAAAGGAAAGAAGAGAAGGAGAAGGAAGGAAGGAAGGAAGGAAUUAAACCUCUUUUCUGUUUGAGCCAUUUCAUUUUGGGCCUGUCUGUCCCAGAGGUUUAACUACACUAAUGUAGAGCGUCUUUUAGUAAAGGUUUGUUGUCGAUUUGUUUCUACUUA